AGACCUAGCUAGAAGAAAAAGAAGAAGAAGAAGAAGAAGAGGAAGAGGCAAGUGUGUGGAGAUGAUGGGAGAGGACUAAGUUCAUGAAAUAAAGAGAUAGUAGGUAUAAAGUCACAAACAUAUGAAGAAAGAGAAAUUUCAAGAAGAAAGCUCAUCCAUCAACCAAAGAAAAGAAAGAAAGAAAAUGAUGAUAACAUAAUGGUGAUAGACUGCUAGUACUUACACAAGUAUAAAUGUACACCAUUAUUUAUUUAUUUUUUUUUUUUGAAAAAAAUGUACACCAUUAUUAAUAGGUAGUAGUUGCAAUUUUUUAUAGUAUAGUUUUUAAAUUAAAUUUUGUGAGAUUUAAUUAAUAUUAAAUUGUAAACACAUUUAUGUAGUUGUGUUGGGCAUUUAAUAUUUUUCAUAUAAGAGAUUUUAAAUUGGGAUUUUUAUAAAAAAAUAUUAGAUUUUGAGUAAAAAUUUACAAUUUUAUUGCUACAUGAAAAUUCUUAUAAUAAUACUGUCUUUUUAUAAAAUAACCGUAAAACAAUAAAAUAAAACAAUUAAAAACAAAAGUAGAACAACUAAAAAAUAAUCCUUGAACAACUGAAAACUUAACACAGUACACAAUAUUUUUGAAAAAAAUUCUGUCCCACAAUAAAAAAGAAAAAAAGUAGAAAAUUUUAGUAUAUGAUAUAGAAAUCCCUAUAAAAUUUGUGUUAAAUUUGAGACAACAAAUGAGAUUGUGUUAUAUUUAGCCCACUAUUUACAAUUAUACUUCAAUACACAAUAUGUAAAAUAAGUAAAAAAAAUAUUAAUUAUUAUUGAUGAGCAAUUGAGAAUACAUUUUUUUUUAUCUUUUUAUUGUAUAAAUAAUGGUAAUAAGGUAAAUAAUUUAUGUAAAGUUUUUAAAAGUUAAUAUAUCAUAAUAAUUCAUGUCAUAAUAGUAAAUCAAAAAGUGGCAUUUAUUGUGGGCCAAAUUUAGUAAAUGUUAUAUCUUGUGUUAAAUUUGGUACAAUUGUUAGCAGCAUGUUACAAAUUUGGUACAUUUUUUAGAAUACCAUUAGAAUUGUAUUAAUUUUAAGUGUGGUAAAAUAUCACAAUACACUGUUUAACACUCUAUUGGAGAUAUUUUAAGGAUAACAUGUUAUAUCUUUUUUUUUGAAAGGUAAUUCAUUCACUGAAACAUUCUUACAAAAGGAUAAGGCCAUACAACCUUUAUAUAGCAUAAAUGACACGAGGGAGAACAACCCCAAUUCACAUGGUACUAAUUUUGUUAAUCAAAGCAUAAUUUGCUAAAAUAUGAGCCAUCAUAUUGGCCUCACGAUACACAAAAGACAAUCCAAGCAUGAUUCAUCAACGUUGAAUUUCCUGUAGAAUAACAUCCACAUCAUGACAACCCCCAUCUUCUCCCUGCAUUAAGCUAAUUGCUUCUCUACAAUUCGAUUCAGUAGUAAAGUGAGGGAGUUGUCAUUGAAUGCCAAUCUGUAAGCCUUCCCAAAUCGUAAGGAGCUCAGUUGUGACUAGCAAUAAAUCAUCCUGAAUAAAUUUUGAUGCAGCAAAAAUAAUACUACCAUGUGCAUUAGGUACUACCGAGCCUAUCCCUCCUAUCGGAGUUUCAUUUUUUAAACUGGCAUCAACAUUCACUUUGUAACACCCUUCAAUGGGUGGUUGCCAACGUAUAUUUUGUCACUGUUCUUUAUGGACAUGUUUAUCUUUUGGUGCCUGAAACUCAUUCAAAUUAUUUUCAAACCAAUCUAGAACAUCCCUCCCUCUCGGCUUACACCCCCAUGUUUCAUGCUAUUACAUAUAGACCAUAAAUACUAUGAAACCAGUAGAAAAAAAAAAUUAAAUUUAUUUGGGUCCCAAAGGUGAGAUAAUCUCUAUCAAAUGAGAGUAUAUCAGUUUGAGCACAAGACAUUAUAUCACCUUUUAGCCCAUUAAGUUUCCAUAGUUCCUUAUUGACUGAGCACCCCAGAGAGUAUUAAAGAUUCCUUCUUUGUGUUUCCUUGAGCACAGAUCAGAAUCAGGUGUCACCCUCAACUUUCGUUUAUUGAGUUCAACAUUAGUUAGAAUCCAUGAGUGGCAUAUCUUCCAAAUAAAAUGUUUCACUUUUGGAGGUACCUUUAAUUUCUAUAGACCAAUUCUCCAUGGCAUGCGCAUUAGAUUAUCAUCUAAAAAUCUUCUCAUACCAUUCCAUAUAUAUAAUGGCAUCAUCAUCGAUCAUCAUCACAAAAGAAUCGCUCAUUUCCUUGAGAUGCAAAGAUCAUCCUUUCCAAAUCCAAAAAGUCAGGAAAUGAAAGGGCCUCUCACAUGGCUGUUUAUACUCACAACCAUUCUCUCUAAACUUGGACCCCAUUUUCAACAUGAUUUUUUAAUUCACCCAAAGUAUCCUUUUGCCAAUCUGGUACCCCUCCGGACUAAAUUUUUCACUCCAAAAUCCAUAGCCCAUCUUUUUUGGUACUUAACAUGCAUCUAUACGAUUAUUGUCAAAGUCCAAACUAUGCCUCUUCACACUGCUAUACAGUCUUUUCUCAAACAAGAACAAAUUAAGCAUGCCUACAAAAUUCAAAUGGACAUUUUGUCUAUGUACGCUCCUCUAGAAGAGUGGAAAAAAAUCCUUUGGUAUGAAUAGGAAAAGAAUCACAGCAAUAGGCACAUCUUUAUUUAUCCAUUAGGAACACAUGUAGUCAACAUGAUAGAUUUCUACACUAUUUUCCUUAUUAGUCUUAAUGCAAAAUUGGAUGAGAACAAGAAAAUAGUUUGCACUCCCACCUUUGAACUAUAAGAAGCACCUUUCAGAGAAAGUUAAGAGUAUAGGGAUCUCCAAAAGAUUAUUUUUGAGAAAAACUAGACUAUUCCACCAGAAAUUUGGCUAAAAAUAGAAGAUGAUGGAGGCAACAGUCGAGACUAAAUUUAAUGAUGACAUGAAGUUAGUGACCCUAUAGUCGGGGAUUUUGGUAGGUUCCCUAUUUUGGAAUGAAAUGCAAAGAUAAAGGUAUGACACUCUAUUGAUUUUUUGGCAAUAGGCCAAGGUUUUAUCAGUCUGGAAGAGUCUUACACUCGAGUCUUUAGGGGUGGCUCUAGUACCCUCAAUCAAUGUUAGUAUUUGCACCACAACUCCUGGUUCUAUCUAUUCUACCUCCUAAAACUUAGUACACAACUCCGACCAUCUAUGGACCCACUACCUCAGGGUAUGUGCUUCCACAGACAAGUUUCUCUGGCUUUAGAGUGGCACUGAUCAGAUGUAGUUGGCUUCUAGGUAGAUCCAGAUGAACCAAUAAGAGAAAGUUUCAGAAUCAGGUGUAAGCUAGUCUCGAAGCAAGAGAAGUGGAAAAAUUCAAAGUCUGAGUGAAGCUAUGAAGAAAGGAAGAAAGAGAUAUGAGGCCCAAUAUUCUGAGUAUACAAAUUGGAUCGACACUUGAGAUAAUUUCUAUAAAACCAUGUGCAACACGAUUCAUUACAGAAAGCCCCCUCUGAUGUAUAAUGGAGGCAAGCAUAAAACUGAUCCUAGUAAAAGGUGUGAGUAUCAUAAUAACAUUUGAAAUACUAUGAAUGAAUGCGAUUACUUAAAGGAUGAGAUCGAGAAUCUCAUAAAGAAUGGGUGCCUCCACGAGUGGGUGAGAAUCCUAAUCUUAUGAAUAAGACAAAGGGUAGCCCAAGGAAAACUGGUCAUUCCCAGACAACAUAGAGCCAUAAACCCUCCUCAAGGAGCAGUUUACUAACAAGAUCGGGGAGUUUAGGCCCCUCAGGGGGUCCCAAAUGUACAAGCACUCAAAAACAUACAAGCUUCUAGACCAGGGAAUCCCUAACCUCUAAGUGUUGCUCCACCCCGGUAGAUGGACACGUGUGACUAUUUCCAGAGGUCCACAUAUCGCCAGAAGUACUAACAAUUCCCAGAAGAGGUAUCUCAAUGAACUCGAAUAGGAUGGGGAAGUGUGUGCUCUAGUGAAAACACCAGCAUAGAGGCCAUAAAUUUUGAACUUUCCAAUCAUAUUCAUAGAAGAAGAUGUCAAGCAUGUUCAUCUCCCUCAUAAAAUAUGGAAGAGACAAUUCCUAGAGCACUUGCCUAGCUAGCACCAGGGACAGCCCGGGAAAAAGAUAAAUCAGACCCCCUAUAGGGGUGGAAAUAAUGAUAGAACCAUUGGGGGAUGUAGAAUAAGUAUGUAAUAGUGAAGCAGACCCCACAAAGUCAUUAAAGUGAGACGAAUUCUGCCCCCAACAAUAAAAGAACAAAUUAUGUCCACAGUGAAGCAAAACCAAGACAUCCUGGUGUGGAGCCAUGCAUAUAUGACAUGUAUCAGUCCCCAUAUAAUCUGUCAUGCCUUGAACAUAGAUUCAGAUGCCAACCCAACCAGGAAAAUGAAAGUGGAUACCACUUGAUCAGGUGCGCUCAAAAAAUGUGAAGGCAAAAGUCAACAAGUUAACCUCGAUAAAUUUCCUCAGGGAAACUGUAUAACCAGUUUGUCUUGCUAUCUAGUUCUGGUCCCUAAGAAAAAUAGGACAUUGAGAAUGUGCAUUGACUUCACAAAAUUAAAUAAGGCAUGUCUGAAGGAUUGCUUUCUGCUUCUGCGAAUAGACUAAAUGUUAAACACUACCUCUGGGUAUGAACUCCACAGUAUUAUGGACCCAUACUCCAACUACAAUCAGAUAAAAAUUCAUGUAGCAGGACAAGAGUAAACCAGCUUUCAAACAAACAAAGGUGUGUACUGCUACCUUGUAAUGCUCUUUGGGCUCAAAAAUGCCGGAACUACCUAUCAGUGUUUGGUAAUAAAAUGUUGAAAGAUAUUUUGGGGAAGAAUAUGGAACUUUAUGAGGACAACAUGUUAGUAAAGUCCAAGACUACUGGGGAGCACAAUAAUGAUUUGUUAGAGGCCUUCUCGAUAAUCUAAAAGUAUAGUAUAAAGCUGAAUCCAGAAAAAUGUACCUUUAAAGUCUCCUUAAGGAAAUUCCUAGGCUUCAUUGUCAACUUUUGAGGAAUCAAAGCAAACCCAGAGAAGAUGCGGGCUCUCCUAGAUAUGCCCUUCCUAAGAAAGCAUGAAGAUGUAGGCAGCUUAACCAGGAGGAUUGCAUCUCUCAGUAGAUUUUUGUCUAAAGAAACAGAUAAUGCAUUCCAUUUCUCAAGAUCUUACGCGGAAGCAAAACAUUCAAAUGGACCAGUGAGUGUGAAAAAGCCUUCUAAAGAUUAAAAGAGCAUUUGUCUAGGGCUCCCAUUUUGUUGAAGCCAGUUGAGGGAAAAAGUCAUUGUACCUAUAUUUGGUCAUGUCAGAUCAAGUCAUUAGUUGGCAUUAGUGCAAGAAAAAUGAAGGGUAACUUCAAAUUUAUUACGUAAUUGAGAGAUUAUUUGGCGUAGAGUCCAAGUAUCCUAUGAUAAAAAAGCUUUCCUACUGUUUAGUGAUAGCCUAAAGGAAGUUAAGACCGUACUUCUAGGCCCAUGCCAUUAAGGUACUCAGGAACCACCCUCUCCGCCAAGUCUUGAAGCAGCUAGAAUCCUUAGGAAGACUGCUUAAGUGGGCCAUAGAGCUCAGUCAAUUUUAUAUUCAGUACCAGCUAAGAAUAUCCAUCAAGGGUCAAGCCCUCAUUGAUUUCAUUGUGGAAUGCAUCGGAAUCAACGACGAUCCAAAAGAACUAGUUCCAGGACUGGUGAUUUAGAAAAUCUAUAUCGGUAGAGCCUUUAACAAGAAAGGUUUCAGAGCAAGAAUAAUUCAAAUCUCACUGCAAGGGCUCAAAAGUGCCCUCCAAUUCAAGUUCAUCGCCUCCAAUAACGAAGCAGAGCAUGAAACAGUGAUUACUAGUUUGCAUCUAGCUAAGGAAGUCAGUGCUGAAAACAUUGAAGUUUACAGCAACUCCCAGUUAGUGGUGAACCAAAUAUUAGGGGAGUAUCAAACUAAGGGAGAAAAGAUGGCUACUUAUGUCUCCAAAGCUCGAUAACUGCUCUAGAAUUUUAAAACAUAUACUAUCCAGUAGGUCUCCAGGGAUCAUAAUGCCUUUGAGGACAUGUUGGCUAAGUUAGCAAUAGAUAUAGAAAUAGAGGAACAUAAAUUGGUCCCCAUAGCUCGUCUCAUUGUACUAAGUACCCAGAUGCUGGGGUAAACGUCAAUUACCACCCCAACUAUUGGAUAGGCCCAAUCUACAAGUUCUUAAGUUCCGAAGAGCUCUUGAUAGAUAGAGAAGCUGCGAGAAAAAUCCAAUAUCAAGCUCCCAUCUACGUAAUCCUAGAAAAAAAUUAUACAUAAGAGGGUUGUUUGUACCAUACCUAUGGUGCAUAGCCAGGACCAAGAUCAGCGUGGUUAUCCACGAGAUACACGAUAGAGUUUGUGGAGAUCACACGUCUAGAAUAAGUCUAUCCAAGAAGAUCAUCCGGCGAGGGUGUUUCUGGCCCAUGAUGAAAAAGAUUGCAUUGACUACCUCCAAAAAUGAGAGCAAUGUAAUUGUUACACCAAGGUCCCUUAGGCUCCACCUACUGAAAUAGCACUCAUUAGUAGCCCAUGGCCUUUUGUGGUAUGAGGGAUUAACUUAGUAGGGUCUCUUCAAACUGGGAAAGGAUGAGUUAAAUACCCUAUAGUUGUCGUUGACUACUUCACCAAGUGUGUAGAAGUGAAAUCAAUGAACACGGUCACCUCUAAGAAGGCUUUGGAUUGUAAUCAAGAACACCAUAUGUCAUUUUGGCCUUCCACAUAAGAUCGUGUCCGAUAACAAUAAGCAGUUUGAUAGUGAUCACUUCACCAAUUUUUGUACUAAACAUGAAAUUAUCAAAAGCUUUUCGACUGUGGCCAGGCCACAAUCAAACAGACAAGUGGAGGUCAUCGAAAAGAUCCUAAAAAACACAUUGAAGAAGAAUUGCAAGCCUGCCAAGUGCAUUGGCUGGAAGAACUUCCCAGAGUUAUUUAGGCAUACCGAACAACUAAAAGAACUUCAAUGGGGCAUACUCCAUACUCUAUGGCAUAUGGUUGUGAGUUCGUCAUUCCAAUAUGCAAGAAACUUAUGACCCUACCUGGAACCACACUUUACUUCAAGAAUGACUAGAUUUAAUCGAAGAACUUCAGGAGCAGUCACAAGUUUAACUGAAAAUGUAUUAAGGCAAAAUUUCCUAACACUUUAGCUCGAAGAUCAUAAGCCAGAGGUUUGACGUCGGAGAUCUUGAUUUAAGAAGGGUUUAGGCAUCUCAAGAGUUGGAAGUGGGGCGACCCAACUGGUAAGAACCAUAUGAGAUCUAGCACAAGAUGACUGAACAUAGCAGUUAAAAACCCAUGAUGAAUCUAAGAUUCCACGAGCUUGGAAUGCGGACCACCUACGCCAGUACUAUUAGUAAAUGGGGGUAGCUGGAUCUUGUUUCACCUUACACGUUUUAUUUCUCUUUUCCUUUUCAAGAAAUGUAAGCCUCUAGUAACUCCCCAGGGCAAAGACAAUGUUGUAACAAU